UGUGUAGGCGGAAAAUUAAGUCAGUGAUGAAAUCCUGCAGCUUAACUGUAGAACUGUUAUUGAUACUGAUUUUCUUGAAUUCAGUUGAGGUAGGCGGAAUGUGUAAUGUAGCGGUGAAAUGCUUAGAUAUUACACAGAACACCGAUUGCGAAGGCAGCUUACUAAGCUGAUAUUGACGCUGAGGCACGAAAGCGUGGGGAGCGAACAGGAUUAGAUACCCUGGUAGUCC
rnacentral:rRNA from 1 species